rnacentral:rRNA from 1 species
UCGGGAAUAUUGCGCAAUGGAGGAAACUCUGACGCAGUGACGCCGCGUAUAGGAAGAAGUUUUUCGGAAUGUAAACUAUUGUCGUUAGGGAAGAGAAAGGACAGUACCUAAGGAGGAAGCUCCGGCUAACUACGUGCCAGCAGCCGCGGUAAUACGUAGGGAGCGAGCGUUAUCCGGAAUUAUUGGGUGUAAAGGGUGCGUAGACGGGAGAGCAAGUUAGUUGUGAAAUCCCUCGGCUUAACUGAGGAACUGCAACUAAAACUACCCUUCUUGAGUGCAGGAGAGGUAAGUGGAAUUCCUAGUGUAGCGGUGAAAUGCGUAGAUAUUAGGAGGAACACCAGUGGCGAAGGCGACUUACUGGACUGUAACUGACGUUGAGGCACGAAAGUGUGGGGAGCAAACAGGAUUAGAUACC